GGCGCUGGCUGCUGGCGUUCGAGCACCGGCUGUGGCUCAGUCGAAAAGGGCGCGGUUCUUGCCAGUUCACCUCCUCCAAAGCAGGUGACAAAAAACAAAAAUCAACCAGCUGAUGGAGGGACACUGAUACCUACACAACAACCAUGAACAAUACUAGACAGACACACACUACCAUGUUGACACCACUUAGCAUUCAGCUGGUGUCUGGACGCACCCACCCCACCAUGGUGCCCUCUUGCGUCAUAAUCUAUGAGGACACCCCAAAUACACCUGUUUGUCCUGGACCGCAAUAUGGGUCAUCGAAUCUUCUUUCUGGUCUCGCCUAGUGAUGGCCUUGAUGUCGGAGCUGGGAUUGCCUAGCUGUAGCACCAGUCCUGCAAUGGUACCGACCCUGCUUGUCGUCUACCCUAUUUCCUGUCCGUCCGUCUGAUGGAUGUUGUUGGUCAACGCUAAAACAAGGUGGACAUCUAUGAUGGAGCAAGGGCCCCCACGUACCUUUUACUGAAACCUUCCUGGCCUAUGGAAGUUUUGUGUCAGGUAGCUGUCUGUCCGUCCGUCUAAGUCAAGCGUAUUGUCCUGUUUUAUGUAUGGGAAAAGGGCUCUGAUAGAGGGUACCUUUGGCGUUGUCGGCUGACCAACGCUGUGCUGUUAUCGCCUGGUUGGCUGAUGUUCCAACGUCGGGACAGUGGAGGUGGAGUUUUGGGUUUUUUAAGUAUUUACUUUCUUCGUUUUAUCUUAUUUAUUUACAGAUAACUUUAUUUUCCUUUCUUUUCAGGUUAAUGUUUUUUUUUUUCUCUUUUCAGGUAUCGUUUUCUUUUCAGGUGUUUAGUGUUUCUUCCCUUACAGGUUUUUACGUUCCUGUCUUUUUCGCCUUCUAACAACUUUCAAUUUUUAUCGUCUUUUAUUUCUUUAAGCAUUUUAAUGUUUUUAAUUUCCUUAUAGGUUUUAACUUCAGGUUCUUUACCUUUAUUAACAAUUUUGUUCGGAUUUUAGCCAAUGUUAAUUAUUCAUUUCUUUCGUUUCAGGUGUUAAUAUUUCUUUCUUUUCAGUCUUUUCUAAAACUUAACACAGCCAUUAAAUAUUCUUCAAAGCUUGUUUUUAGGGUUUAAUUUUAAGUUCUUUUAUUUGCUUUUUAUCAAUUAGACAAACAAACGCUUUGAUCUUCAAUAAAACAACACUUUUUCACCGCGGUUUCCGUCUCGUCUUUUUCUUUAUUUAUUUCCACUUGGGUCUCACUCCACCUCCGGUAAGCUUGCUGUCCAUAACCAAAAAGAACGCUUCAUCUUGGGGACUCUAGCCAGCUUGGCUUUGGUUGGUCUCCAUCAUGAAGUUGGUCUUCCAGCCGGCACCAACAAAACAUAUGGGGGCAGCCAUAAUGACAGGUUGGUGUCAGCUGGUUGUCUCCCUCUCCCUGAUGAGGGCCAACCAUAGCCAGUAGGUGUCGCUGGAGUAAGGCAAGUCACAACCAGGUGGCGCUGUAGCGCCAUUAUUCGGCGCACACCACAAA